UCAAGCUAAUAAGAGCGCAAGGGGAAUGCCUUGGCAUCAGGAGCCGACGAAGGACGUGACAAGCUGCGAUAAGCUACGGUGAGGAGCAAAUAUCCUGUGACCCGUAGAUUUCCGAAUGGGGCAACCCGGCUGGACAAUAUCCAGUCAUCCUGCAUUGAAUCAAAUAGGUGUAGGAAGGGAACCGCCUGAACUGAAACAUCUAAGUAGGGCGAGGAAAAGACAUCAACCGAGAUUCCGCAAGUAGUGGCGAGCGAACGCGGAAGAGGCCAAACCGGAGGAUUUAUUCUCCGGGGUUGCGGACAGCUAUACGGAACAAUAGUUUAGCCGAACGGUCUGGGAAGGCCGGUCACAGAGGGUGAGAACCCCGUAGGCGAAAGACGAAUUGUUUCAGGCUGGAUCCAGAGUACCGCAGGACACGUGAAACCCUGUGGGAAACAGGGGGGACCACCCUCCAAGCCUAAAUACUACCUGAUGACCGAUAGAGGAGCAGUACCGUGAGGGAAAGGUGAAAAGGACCCCGGGAGGGGAGUGAAAGAGAACCUGAAACCUUGUGCUUACAAGCAGUCAGAGCACGUUAACGUGUGAUGGCGUACUUUUUGUAGAACGGUCCGGCGAGUUAUAGUAACGAGCAAGCUUAAGGUAUUCAGUACCGGAGGCGAAGCGAAAGCGAGUCUGAAUAGGGCGUAUGAAGUUCGUUGCCAUAGACCCGAAACCGGGUGACCUACGCAUGAGCAGGUUGAAGUGGGGGUGAAACCCCAUGGAGGACCGAACCAACCCCCGUUGCAAUGGUGGUGGAUGACUUGUGCGUAGCGGUGAAAUUCCAAUCGAACUCGGAGAUAGCUGGUUCUCCCCGAAAUAGCUUUAGGGCUAGCGUUAGUUUAGAUUACCGGAGGUAAAGCACUGAAUGGUUUAGGGGCUGAUAAAGUUACCGACGCCUAUCAAACUCUGAAUGCCGGAUAAUUGAUGACUAGCAGUCAGACAGUGUGAGAUAAGUUUCAUUGUCAAAAGGGAAACAGCCCAGACCUACAGCUAAGGUCCCAAAUGUAUGCUAAGUGGAAAACGAUGUGGAAUUGCGAAAACAACCAGGAUGUUGGCUUAGAAGCAGCCACACAUUAAAAGAGUGCGUAAUAGCUCACUGGUCGAGUGACUCUGCGCGGAAAAUGUAACGGGGCUAAGCAUGCAACCGAAGCUUAGGAUUGUCUAAAGACAGUGGUAGGGGAGCGUUCUGUAUGGGGUGAAGUCGCAGCGAGAGCAGCGGUGGACUGUACAGAAGUGAGAAUGCCGGAAUGAGUAGCGAGAAUUAUGUGGGAAUCAUAAUGGCCGAAAAUCUAAGGUUUCUUGGGGAAGGUUCGUCCGCCCAAGGUAAGUCGGGAGCUAAGCUCAGGCCGAGAGGCGUAGGCGAUGCACAUACGGUAGAAAUUCCGUAACCACCGAACUUUAAGCAUGAGGGACACUUUGAGAUAGCGGAACCCGGGCGUUGGUUGACCCGGGCGAAAGGGACCGAAAUAUAGUAGGGAAGUCCGCGAUGCUCGGAGGCGAGAAAAGCUCAUGUGUAUACUAAGGUGCCCGUACCGCAAACCGACACAGGUAGAUGAGGAGAGAAUCCUAAGGCCAACGGGAGAAGGGUUGUUAAGGAACUCGGCAAAUUGACCCCGUAACUUCGGAAGAAGGGGAGCCUCGAAAGAGGCCGCAGUGAAUAGGCCCAAGCAACUGUUUACCAAAAACACAGGUCUAUGCUAAAUCGAAAGAUGACGUAUAUGGGCUGACGCCUGCCCGGUGCCGGAAGGUUAAGAGGAGAGCUUAGCGCAAGCGAAGGUUUGAAUUGAAGCCCCGGUAAACGGCGGCCGUAACUAUAACGGUCCUAAGGUAGCGAAAUUCCUUGUCAGGUAAGUUCUGACCCGCACGAAUGG
rnacentral:rRNA from 1 species